ensembl:lncRNA
AUUGGAAGCAAAAAAUUGAACCAAAGCAGUUCAUACAUCUCCAAGAAAGAAGCUGAAGGAUAAUAUGCAGCAGCAAAAUGAGCACUUAUCUUUCUUCAAUAAAUGGGUAUCAGUACAAUUGAGUGACAUGGGUCCAGCUACCACCUGUCCAGAAGUGAUGUUUCUUCUCCAGCUGACCAUCCAAACCGAAUCCUCAGUGCUAUACUGUGGCACUGCAGCCACUACAAUGACUUCACUCACAAUCUAUUCUUCAUGAAGGAUUAACUGCUAGAGAAACCCACCAAGGAGGAUAGUAAAUUUUCCAGCUCUGGUAUUUUCCAAUUAAGUUUGCAAGCUCUCCUGGAAAUAUGCUUCAACCAUCCCAGGACAAAUUACUGGGAGGCAAGUCAGGACCAAAUUCUGAGAGAUGUUUCUCAAAAUGACUCCAAUGGGAGUUUUUCAUGUGAAGAGAUUGUAUCAUCAAACCAUGUGUUUCAAGCAUCUGCUAAUGGCACUAUAAACUCCUAAUCUUAACAGGACAGCAGAGUGUGAAGUCGGGUUAGGCACUGGAAGUACCCAUGCAGACCUCUUUCUGUUAUUUUUAUUAUACAAUAAACUCUUUCCACGUUUUGGGACUGGGUUUUCUUUCAGCCGCAAACGGAGGCAAAUCAGUAGAAGAGAGAGGGAAAAAUGGGAAUGAAAAUGAUUUGAUAAA